rnacentral:rRNA from 1 species
UGCAGUCGACGGUAGCAGGAAGUGCUUGCACUUUGCUGACGAGUGGCGGACGGGUGAGUAAUGCUUGGGAACUUGCCUUUGCGAGGGGGAUAACAGUUGGAAACGACUGCUAAUACCGCAUAAUGUCUACGGACCAAACGGGGCUUAGGCUUCGGCGCAGAGAGAGGCCCAAGUGAGAUUAGCUAGUUGGUGGGGUAAAGGCUCACCAAGGCGACGAUCUCUAGCUGUUCUGAGAGGAAGAUCAGCCACACUGGGACUGAGACACGGCCCAGACUCCUACGGGAGGCAGCAGUGGGGAAUAUUGCACAAUGGGGGGAACCCUGAUGCAGCCAUGCCGCGUGUGUGAAGAAGGCCUUCGGGUUGUAAAGCACUUUCAGUUGUGAGGAAAAGUGAGUAGUUAAUACCUGCUCACCGUGACGUUAACAACAGAAGAAGCACCGGCUAACUCCGUGCCAGCAGCCGCGGUAAUACGGAGGGUGCGAGCGUUAAUCGGAAUUACUGGGCGUAAAGCGCACGCAGGCGGUUUGUUAAGCUAGAUGUGAAAGCCCCGAGCUCAACUUGGGAUGGUCAUUUAGAACUGGCAGACUAGAGUCUUGGAGAGGGGAGUGGAAUUCCAGGUGUAGCGGUGAAAUGCGUAGAUAUCUGGAGGAACAUCAGUGGCGAAGGCGACUCCCUGGCCAAAGACUGACGCUCAUGUGCGAAAGUGUGGGUAGCGAACAGGAUUAGAUACCCUGGUAGUCCACACCGUAAACGCUGUCUACUAGCUGUUUGUGGCUUUAAGCCGUGAGUAGCGAAGCUAACGCGAUAAGUAGACCGCCUGGGGAGUACGGCCGCAAGGUUAAAACUCAAAUGAAUUGACGGGGGCCCGCACAAGCGGUGGAGCAUGUGGUUUAAUUCGAUGCAACGCGA